AUCCAUAUGGUCCCACAUUCCCCUCCCAAAGAGAUAAGAACAAAAAAAAAGAAGAGGAAAUAUUCAGUAAACCAUAACUUUUGAAUUUAAUAUUUUUUUUCUAGCCCAUGAAAUGAAAAAGGAAUUAUGGUAAUAUUUUCUCCUCAGUCUUGCUUCUCAAGCACAAGUGUUGGAGUCUUACUAUAUACUUAUUCCUACGGGAGAAUUUUUCAAACAGUACCUGAACUAAAGGUCACUGUUAAUUAACGUUCCUAACUUUACACUAAUUACACUUGGUACCUAGACUAUAAAUCUCGACCCACUUUUGGUACAUACCGUCAAUAACUCCGUUAACCUCAUGUCAUUAUUUAAUUUUGUAAAGGGUAGUUUGGUAUUUUCACACACACACACACACACUCUCUCUCUCUCUCUCGGGGUCAUGAUCAAAUCUCAGCUCUAAUCUCAUUUCCCUGCUUUCUGCAACCUCAGCUUUGCCUUCACCUACUGCCCAGAAGCCCAAAUAAACCGUAUGUGUCAUUCCUCCAAGCCAAGUCGCUGUCAGCCGCCCUAGCCUCUCCGGGCCGAGCCUUGCGUCACAACCACACUCCAGCCUCCAACCGGGCCGACCCAAUUUUUCUCUCUCUUCUUCCUUCAUUCCUCUUCUUCUCUCUCUCUCUCUCUCUCUCAAAGUUCUGAUCUUCGAUCCAUGGUUUCUUGACCCAGAAAGCUGAAUUGAUAGCUAGGCUGAAAUUGGAGAUAAACAAAUGAAGAAAAGGUUGAGUCUUUGAAUCUCCAAAUUGAUAGCUUGGCCCCUGUGCACAAAACAUGAACUCACCCGUCUUUGUCACGCUGCCGCACCUCGAGAAACAGAGUCGCUCUUCGUCUUUGUCACUGGCAUUGACCACCUUCCCGAUGAUAGGAGCACAAAGUGUGACGUUUUUAAUAUGAGUUCAUUAUGUGCACAAUUGGAAGAAGAAAUUAGUGCAAUUUAAAGGAGAUGAAUAAGGGAUGUAUCUGGUCACUAUUCAAGGAAUAUACAAUGAGUCAUUAAGGGGAAAAGAGAUCAGAAAAUUCAAGACUCUUUCAUGAGAAAAUCAAGGGAAUUUGGAGGAGAAAUCACCUCUAUAUGAUUGGCCAUGAUUGCAUCAUAAGAGAUGAGAAUUCCACUAUAAAUAGCAGCCAUUCUCUACUCCAAAAUCAUCACUUCUUCAUGCAAAAUUCAGUUCAUUAGCUUAGCUCUCUUCUCUCCAAAACCCUCUCCAAAUAUUCAAAAAAAGCCUCUUGGCAUGAAGAGCUUUAGGACUUCUCCAAGGCUGUUCGUGUUCUUGAAGGUCAAGCCCUGUGUUCUCUUGACGUUCUCCAAGCUUCCUUGAAGAUCAAAAAGUGUAAUCCAUGGCCCUUAUUUCUGUUUUCGUACUCUUUAGUAUUGAAUUUCAGAUUUCGUUUAUGAACUUUGUUAUUGGAGUUGGAUUUUUGUUAAGAAUGAGUUUAUGUUAGUAAUUUUCAAAUUCAUUUCUUUA